UACGUAGGGUGCGAGCGUUGUCCGGAAUUAUUGGGCGUAAAGAGCUUGUAGGCGGUUUGUCGCGUCUGCCGUGAAAAUUCGAGGCUCAACCUCGAACUUGCGGUGGGUACGGGCAGACUAGAGUGUGGUAGGGGAGACUGGAAUUCCUGGUGUAGCGGUGAAAUGCGCAGAUAUCAGGAGGAACACCGAUGGCGAAGGCAGGUCUCUGGGCCAACACUGACGCUCAUGCACGAAAGCGUGGGGAGCAAACAGG
rnacentral:rRNA from 1 species